rnacentral:sRNA from 1 species
AGCAGCCGCGGUAAUUCCAGCUCCAAUAGCGUAUAUUAAAGUUGUUGCAGUUAAAAAGCUCGUAGUUGAACCUUAGGCCCGUGCGGGUGGUCCGUCCUCUGGGCGAGCACUGCCUCGUCGCGGGUCUCACCUUCUGGCGAGCGUGGAUGCCAUUCACUUGGUGUCGGCGGGAACCAGGACCUUUACCUUGAAAAAAUUAGAGUGCUCAAAGCGGGCUCGUACGCUUGAAUACAUUAGCAUGGAAUAAUGAAAUAGGACGACGGUUCUAUUUUGUUGGUUUCCGGGACAGUCGUAAUGAUUAAUAGGGAUAGUUGGGGGCAUUCGUAUUCAAUUGUCAGAGGUGAAAUUCUUGGAUUUAUUGAAGACGAACUACUGCGAAAGCAUUUGCCAAGGAUGUUUUCAUUAAUCAAGAACGAAAGUUGGGGGAUCGAAGACGAUCAGAUACCGUCGUAGUCUCAACCAUAAACUAUGCCGACUGGGAAUCGGGCGAUGUUAUUUUUCGUGACUCGCUCGGCGCCCC